CCACCCGCAGCCCCGAGCGGAGCUGCAGCUGACCGUGGCCGCCUCGCCUCCCAAGCACUUCCCAGCAGUCAUGGAAAAAACUUCUACAGAUGCAUUUCCUUCUACUAUGAAUUCUUCAGAAAAGCAAGAGACUGUAUGUAUUUUUGGAACUGGAGAUUUUGGAAGAUCACUGGCACUUAAAAUGCUCCAGUGUGAUUAUUCUAUUGUUUUUGGAAGUCGAAACCCGCAGAAGUCCAGUUUGCUGCCCAACGGUGCAGAGGUCUUGAGCUAUUCAGAAGCAGCCCAGAAAUCAGACAUCAUAAUCAUAGCAGUCCACAGAGAGCAUUAUGAGUUUCUCAAGGAACUAACUGAGGUGCUCAAAGGAAAAAUAUUGGUUGACAUCAGCAACAACCUCAAAAUCAAUCAGUAUCCAGAAUCUAAUGCAGAGUACCUUGUUCAGUUAGUGCCAGGAGCCCACGUAGUAAAAGCAUUUAACACCAUCUCAGCCUGGGCUCUCCAGUCCGGAGCACUGGAUGCAAAUCGGCAGGUGUUUGUCUGCGGAAAUGAUAGCAAAGCCAAGCAAAGAGUGAUGGAUAUUGUUCGUACUCUUGGACUUACUCCACUGGAUCAAGGAUCUCUCAUGGCAGCCAAAGAAAUUGAAAACUACCCCCUGCAACUAUUUCCAAUGUGGAAGUUCCCCUUCUAUUUGUCUGCUAUUCUGUGUGUCUUCUUCUUUUUCUACUGCGUUAUAAGAGACAUAAUCUACCCUUAUGUUAAUGGCAAGAAAGAUAGCACAUUUCGCUUGGCUAUUUCCAUUCCAAAUCGUAUCUUUCCAAUAGCAGCACUUACAUUGCUUGCCUUGGUUUACCUCCCUGGUGUUACUGCUGCAAUUCUGCAACUGUACCGAGGUACAAAAUACCGCCGAUUCCCAGACUGGCUUGACCACUGGUUGCUUUGCAGAAAACAGCUUGGCUUAGCAGCACUGGGAUUUGCCUUCCUUCAUGUCCUCUACACUCUUGUGAUUCCUAUUCGUUAUUAUGUACGAUGGACACUGAAAAACAGAACCAUUACCCAGGCAACAGCCAAGACGGAAGAUCCAUUUAGCACCUCUACUGCCUGGCUUAAUGAUUCGUACAUAGCUUUGGGAAUCCUUGGGUUUUUCCUGUUUGUACUCUUGGGAAUCACUUCCUUGCCAUCAGUUAGCAACAUGGUCAACUGGAGAGAGUUCCGAUUUGUCCAGUCCAAACUGGGUUAUUUGACCUUGAUCUUGUGCACAGCCCACACCAUGGUGUAUGGCGGAAAGAGAUUCCUCAGUCCUUCGAGUCUCAGAUGGUACCUUCCUUCAGCCUACGUGAUAGCGCUUAUCAUUCCCUGCACCGUGCUGGUGAUCAAGUGCAUCCUCAUGCUGCCUUGUAUAGACAAGACCCUCACACGAAUCCGCCAGGGCUGGGAGAGGAACUCAAAACCGACAUCAAAUGGACAACAUUUAAAGCAAAGUUCAAUUUACCUGGACUCUCCACUAUAGUAUUGUAUAUUUAGGGAAGACUACAUAAUGGGCACAGUUAAGAAAGCAUUUUCUCCCACCUUGCCUUGAAGUUUGUUAACAGAGAAGGAACUGUUGCCUGACGUUGAGAAAUUGACAAAUAGGAAUAGAACACCAUUUAAUCUCAGGUUAGUGAUGAACCUAUGUAGGUCCCUGCCUCUCUUCUUCCCAGAGGCAGCGGGGCUGAGGUCACAGUGAGCUUUGUGGUUUCACACUAAAACAUUUUUUUGUUAUGGGCAACAUGCAUGACCUCAUGUCUUGCAAAAUCCAGGGGAAAUACAUGCAACUUCCUUCUCUGGUUCGAGGGCUGAGUGCAAUGAAAAAGGAAACAGUAAGAUGGUGGCCACUGAUAAAGGCUUUCUCAGGUCCAACUUGUUCUCUAUAAAAAAAGUUAGACUAGCGGAGGCCCAGGGGAGCGGCGGCCGGGACGCCGCCGGGCAGGCAUGGGUUGGAAUCGGAGCCUGAACCCCGACCUGACGACAACCAGCAUCAUGUGGUUACUAAUUUUAACUGCUCUUCAUUCACCUAUUGAUGCCUCCCAGAAAAAAACGCCGCCAGCCUUCCCAGAAAGCCCAGCUGCUAUUCCAAGAACCACCACUGGAGGGCCCCAAACACCAUUAUGGCUCUCCCCAGCUUACCAUUACCCACACUAGACAGGUGCCCAGCAAGCCCAUUGACCGUAACACCGUCACUUCCUGGGUAUCACCUCAGUUUGAUACGGCAGCAGAAAGCUGGUUCCCUGUGAACCAGAAAUGUCAUCGUUGAAACCAGGCAAGACAUGCAAGUGGAAAAUCUACCGCCUCCAAGUUCCCACAUCUAACAUUUGACAGUCCACUGUCUUCCUCCUGUUCAGCCACACUUGGGAUCCCCUUAAGCAGGGAAUGCCCCGGUCAAUCAGAAAAGCGCAUUUCCGGAAGGCCCUUAGUUCCAAUGCUCAGUCCUCAAAGCUGUGGGGAAGUGUCAGUACAUGCGCUUCAAAACUUACCUUAUGUAUUCAUUCCCCCUGAUAUCUAGACCCCAGAGUCAUCGUUUGUGAAGGAGGGGCCCAUUCCCCCAGACCAGAGGGAAAGUAGCCUCCCGAGCUGCUCCUUCCACGCUAGUACUCCCAAGAGCCCAGAGCCUGGGCCUGUUCUAGUUGAAGACACUCCCGAGGAGAAGUAUGGGAUCAAGGUCACAUGGAGGAAAGGAUGCCACUUGUUUACUUACCUCAGGGAGAGAGGGAAGCUGAACAAAAACCAGUUCCUUGUGAAAAACUCACUGGAUUUCUCUGACACCAGCAGUCUCAAGAAAUUUUCAUAAAGUUGCUAAAGUACUUUUCUGGCUCACAGGAGAGUACAUCAGGAGAAUAAAAUGGAAAUAAUACCAAUAACCUCAAAAGAAAAAAAGAUGUUUUAACUAGAACCUUGGAGUCAUAAGGGAAUUCAGUUCCCAGAUUUGCUUUUUAAGAUGUCUUUUCCUAAAAAGUUUUUAGUGUCAUAAACAGUUCAUAUUUUUCUUAACAUUAACUGUCUAAAAUUUUAAAGUAUCUUAUAGUAACUUUUAAAAUGUAUGUAAAUAAAUGGUUGCAGAAAUGUUUUAGAGAAUCCUGCUUCUGAUUACCGAUCACGCAGCAAUAUUGCCUUCUCCACAAAAGGUCUUUCUUCGUUGUUUUUUAAAAACUAAUUAAUCCUCUAAUCACCUUGUCCCAACUAAUUCAUUCCACACUUUUGAGUACCAACUCUGUGUCAGGCUCAGCAGCAGCUUCCUUUAUGACAUGAUGGACAGGAAAAAUAAAAGCAAACUCUGUGAAAAAAAAAAAAAGACUAAACUGCACUGUAUUCUAGGAAAAUUUUUAAGCUCACAGACCUUUUAUUUUUGUAUGUUCUCCCCAUGGUAAGGGAUGACUGCUUCUGUAAAUUUGUACUCAUUAAAUGUUAUUUUAAAAAUA